AGAAAGAAAGAAAGAAAGAAAGAAAGAAAGAAAGAAAGAAACUGAGAAAAGAAGGCACGAAGCCCUGAGAUAAGUGCCAUCAGCCCCUCCCUGUCACUUCUACCUUCACUGCAGUGAAAAAGUGAAGCUUCCUCUCAUCCAGGAUACAUGAAUCAUGAGGGAUUUUGCUUCCUGCUUGAGAACCAUCUGCGGUUUUUGCCUGAACCCGAUGUCAUCUAGAUAAAACUGUUGAGGGACAGGCGGGUGGGUGGAAGGAGGAAAGCAGGAUGGUGGAGUGUCACGUGUUAGAAAGAAGCACGACACACAGAAUGUUCCGGAAGGACAGGAUCCAAGAUGGUGGAUCGCGACGGUCGAAUCCCUUCCCGCCGUCCACGGCACACAACGGCCGGCCUUCCAAGCGAGGCCAUGUGACCAAACGGUGGCGUGUGGUUUGUGAGCAGAAGCGAGAUGGACAAUCUCCAGAGCGAGUCUUGAAGGGGAAGCACGUCUUCGGCCCUCCCGCUUCCUCGCCUUUCCUCGUCACGGAGGUGGCAGAGAGUGGCGACACCAUGUAACACGGGUCCGGGAAGACCUGAUCUCGUUGGGUCCCGUGCAAGUGGCCCCGUGGGUUGUGCAACCGGGGGCCCGAUGGAUGGUGAGCCAUCGCCAACUCUGCGGACUGAAGCAACACCCCAGGGACGUCAGAACAAGUGCGGGAAAGAGCCGGUCCUCUCUCCUCAACGUGGACUUCAACCAUGGCCGCCCAAACCCAGACUGUGGCGUGAGAGAGAGAGAAAGUUGUAUCUCGUUCCGGUCCUGGUUAGUCCUGGUCUCUGUCGUGACAGCCGACCCUGUAUUCCAACAAAUAGACCGGAUAACCCUCUAUUACUGGGCAAGUCAACUCUACAGCAAUCUGUUCCUCAAACACCGUGGGGAGUUCUGGUUAAGACCUUUCUUGAAAUGGGCAUGAUUUGGGCAGCAAAUCCCACCUACAGAGUCCUGUCUAGAGUGCCCCGAUGGCCGGAGAGCAGCUGGCCAUGCAGUGCCACGUAUGACCGUAAGCCCCAGCCGGGCAAAGAUCAUGGAGCCCAUCAGAUGGUUCUCCUCACGGGACCGAGGGUCCGUGGCUCCCACCGCACAUGGUGGGGCUCAGCAGGCACCUGCAAGCUUAGCUUCAAACAAGCCAGACUGAGCAAAAGUCACAGAGGGUUCCCACAUACCUCCUGCCCCUACACAGGUACAGCCUCCCCCACUAUCGACAUCCCCCCGCGAGGGUCGUGCCUCGAGGGUCGUACAUUUGUUACAACUGAUGAACCCGCACUGGCACACUAUGAUCACCUACAGUCUACGGUUUACCUUCGGGCUCCCUCUUGGUGCGGUACAUUCUGCGGGUUGGGACAAAUGUAUAAUGACGCGUGUCCACCAUUUUACAGAAUAGUUCGACUGCCCUAAAAUUUUUCUGCGCUCUGACUACUCAUACUUGCCUAGCCCCUCUUCUCCCAGGCAAACACUGAUCCUUUCAUUGUCUCUACAGUUUUACCUUUUCCAGAAUGUCAUAGAGCUGGAAUCAUACAGUCAGUACACAGUCUUUUCAGACGGCCUUCUUUCACUUAGUGACGGGCCUUUAAGGUCCUUCUAUGUCUCUUCACAGCGUGGUGGCUCGUUUCUUGUCAGCGCUGAAUGGGGUUCCGUUGUCCGGAUGGACCGCGGUUUAUUUAUCCACUCCCCUACUGAAGGACAUCUUGGUUGCAUGAUCUGUGUUUUAAUACACUCUCCAGGUGAUUCUGAAGGUCACGAGCACUUGGAAACAAUAUCUCGGGGAGGAGCCUGGGUGGCUUCGUGGGUUGAGCUCUUGGUUUCGGCUCAGGUCAUGGUCUCAUGGGUCGGGGGUUCCAGCCCUGCGUCGGGUUCUGUGCUGACAGCAAGGAGCUUGCUUGGGACUCUCUCUCUCUCUCUCUGUCUGCCCCUCCCAGCUCUCUAUCUCUCUCUCAUCAAAAUAAAUAAAUAAACUUAAAAAAAAACCAAUAUCUCCACACUACACUUCUACCGUUAAAAAAUCUUUUAAUGUUUAUUUAUUUUUGAGAGAGAGAGAGAGACAGAGCACAAGUGAGGGAGGUACAGAGAGAGGGAGACACAGAAGCCGAAGAGGCUCCAGGAUCUGAGCUGUCGGCACAGAGCCCGACGCGGGGCUCGAACUCACGCCGUGAGAUCAUGACCGGAGCCGGAGUCAGAUGCUCAACCGACUGAGCCACCCAGGCGCCCCUCUACGUCCACAGAUUUGACAUUGCAGCCAUUCCCUUUGCCUGAAUGCCUUUCUUCCUAGCCCUCCUUACAGCGGUCCUGCUCAUAUUUGGGGGGCACCCAAAAUGCCACCUUUUCCAGAAUGCACAGUCUGAAAUCAUGACUCCCUGGGGAUGUCCGUUCUGGCCGGAGCUGCUGGCCUCCCCCCACUGGAAUGUGAGCUCUUGCAGAAGGCAUCCGGUUUUCUGCAGCUCCCAGCCCCUCGUUCCAGGCGGGGUUUACAGUAGCGCAUAAUAAAUGCCGUAAGCUUGAAUCAUGCGCUAGGACGGCAAGCUAGGAAGGCCUGCGUCCGGACUCACAAGCAGGCAAGCAACGUGGCAGACGGAUUCGUAUCACACUCCCAGGAACGACAUCUUACAUACACAUGUCUCUCCAGACCAAAAUGCAUGUCCAGAAAAAGAACUGAUAAGAUCGUUUUUUGUUUUUUGGGUUUUCUUCCCCGCAACGGUGAGGAAAAGAAAAGAAGUGAACAUAAACCAAGUACUGUCCAUCUGCCGGCACUGUUUUUUGGUGUUUGGUUUUGGGGUUUUUUUUUUGUUUUUUUCUAUCCUCUUACUCCUCGCCACCCAGGUGGGUGUGCGGAAUGGUCUCAGGUACAGACGAGUGAUGCUCAGAGACGUUCAGUAACUUGCUCUAGGUCACACAGCUUCAACGUGGGCCCAGAGACCCAUAGGACACAUAGGACCACCCUUCUUCUGUGUCAGUUCACUUCGAGGGAAGGGCCCAGGGGGACGAGAAGGAAACCUCUUCCAGCCUGCUCUGUGUCCUCUCGAAAUCGCCACCUCUUCUAGAGGCACCACACCUCGGGCAGGCUGGGCCAACGGGAGGCGUCGCACGGGACCUCUGCAAAGCCCAGCAGACGCGCUCGUCAUCCCACAGGCCGUUCGCUGGGCCAGGCCUCGUCUGGCUAGACGCCGGCUCAGUGUAUAAGUGGAAGUCGUAAAACAAGCAGCGUGGAAGUGAGCGGCCCGUCCCCGCCUGGCGGAAAUCGACUCCGUGAACAUUAUCAACAGCCGGUGGCAGGCGGACGUGGAGGAGGGACAGGGACGCGGGCCACGCGAGCCCGAGUCGGCCUCUCUGGGCCCUCACGGGAACACCUUUGCGCGGACGGCAGGCAGUGGGGAUGAGCGUCCGUGCUCAAGCCCCGUGUUUUAGGAGCACCUGCCAGCUCGCAGGGGGUUAGAAAUCCGGGGACUGCCUCGCGCUCAGGCUCCUGCAUCGCUCUAAACUUCAGUCUCCUCGUCCGUGACGACAAUAAGGGGAUCUGCCUCUGGGUGGCUGUGGCGAUUCGGGGACAUAAUGUAAGCCACGGGUGCCUGCUCAGGACAACCUUGGAGAGCGGCCACGACCGCUGUCUCUCCAGUGCCUGCUCUGGCCCAGGAUUUCUUCGCGUGCUGCUUCCUGAGCACACAGCAAAACGGGGAGGCAAACGUAAUUCCCGGGGCUCCCAAGAGAACAGUGUCAGGAGGAGAGCCGGAAGGUGCAAGUUCCUCUCCCCAGCUCUGGCCACUGCUCCUGCUCCUGCGGGCCAGGCCUCUGGGGCUCGGUGAGGGGCUGUGUGGUUCGCCCACCAGGACUGGAAAGCCUAAAGCACACUGAGUGAAGGCAAGAACUACCCACAUUCGGCUGCUACGUCCCUGUUUGAAAUCCGCGUGCCGAGUUCACAGGAUGCAUCCAACGCCUCGCCUGGUUUUCCCUGCGGGGCUGGGGCGGCCGGAGGGGCGGGGGGACACAGCAGGAACAAGGGGACAGAGACAGGCACGGGGGCGUUGGUGGCUAGAGCAUGCCUGUGCAGACUUGGGUUCAGAUUUCAGCUCUGCCCGCUUAGAGCGCGUCCUCAGGCAGAUCUGCUACCACUGAGGCUCCGUGGUUUCCUUCCCCGCGCAAGGAGGUGAGGGAGAAGAACCCAUCUGUUCUAAGGAUCCACAAGUAUGCACGUAGCCUGCCAAGUCCAGGGCAGGGCAGGGAGGGGCUUGCAAAUGGAAGCCACCUACCCCUUCCCCCACUAAGGCAGAGAUGUUUAGUGCCAUACCCAAGGCCUCCGGGGUGGUGAGGGACAGAGCUGGGAACUGAACCCCAGAACUGGCUGGUGGUAAACUCACGACUCCAAUGCCCUUCCCCACCCCCCCCCCGCCCCGCCAUGGAUCUUGCAUGACACCAACCUCUGCCCUUAGGAAGUUUCCAGUCUCUCUUGGAGAACAGAAGCAACGCACGGGUGCUUUUUCCAAGCGCCUGCCAAAAAAAAAAGGUACAAGGAAAGAGGUGUGGGAGAUCCCAGGAGCCGACCAUCCCAGUUUGGAGAAAUCACCCAAGCUUCCAGGAGGAAGCGACACAGGUUGGGUCUUGAAGGGUGUGUGGGGCUGGAGGGGUGCGUGUGCCGAGCCCCGGUGUCUCGAGUCUGCCAGUCGGCAUCGGGAUGGCUCCGCGGGGGGCUUCGGGCAGGCUGGCGGGGCAGGACCUGGUCACCACUGAAGGCUUUGGCAGGCCAGCACAGGGAGCCAGAAGCGUGUGCUCCUUUCUGGAUUCUUCCACGCACCCCUCCUCCCCCCUGAGCCCCAACCCACCUAUUGCCCUCUACUACAUCCUGGAGCCCCUGAAUUGGUAGAAGAACCAGAAUUCGUGGUGGCCCUUUUGGCUAGGUGCGAUGCUAGGUCUCGAAUAUACACACAAAACUCUGGAACAUGAAAAUCACAUAAAAGAGUCACUUCAAGUCACACAGAGGGUAGGAGAGAAUCAGGAUUCCAGCCCUUUUCCCUCUAGUUCCCAGAUCCAGCAUCUUUCCAUUAAAUGCACUGGCUUGAAGGCCAAAGAAACCUUUGUGGUGGAGAAAAGCAGAACCUCUGGGAGCGAUGCUCGGGCCUCCCGAAGACCUGCCCAGGGGGACUGUUAACGGCUUGUUAGCAAACAUCUACUGAUACUGUACUGUGUAAGCCUAUAAGGGUUUUAAAUAUUUCACCUAAAUUCUCACCACUGCUGUCCACAAGGGAGGCAUUAUUAUAUCACCAGCCUCUAUUUCACACCAGGAAAUUGCCACAUAGUGUUUAAGUGGCUGGUCCAAGGACACAUGAUUCAUGGGGUUGAAAGGUUGGAUUUGAAUCUGGGCAGCCUGGAUCCAGCUUCCUUCCCUAACUAGAAUGAUGUGGAAGGCUGGCCAGGCUGUGCCCUGCGCAGGUGGAGGCUGAGAUCCAGCGCAAAAUCUGCUCUCUGGGCUGUGCAGGCUGGCACGGGCUGCUGGGGGGGGGGGGGGGGAUGGGGCACCUUUGUGUGACUUCCACCCAAGGACCGCAAGCCAAGCUUGUCCUCCUGGGAACGACAGCAGCUGACCACAUCGCACCUUUGUCAUUUGCACCAUUGAUUUUUUUUUUUUUUAUCCUGACCUUCUCAAAGCCAUUUAAGAGCACAGAUAAAAAAGCAAAGCGCAGGGAGGCUGUGAAAUGCAGCUCAGCGGCCAGCCACAACGGGAAAAGGCAUUUAAACGCGGCCAGCUCAGACAUUCUUCCUCCGGUGGAUGGAAGUGAGUUCUGGACCAGUCUGCCCGGUGGGCAGCUCGGCAGGUGUGGCUGGCUGGCAGGUGUGGCCGCACCGUUGACCUGGCGAUCCCUCUUCCAGGAAUCCAUGUGGCCGAAAUGCUCAUCGGCCCCAGUGAAGAUCUCUGCGGGGAACAUGGUUUGUAAGAGUGGAACACCGGAAACCACCCCGCACGCCCUGGGAGGAGACUGGUCCGAUCCACUAUGGUGCGCUCAAAUUUGGAGUACCAAACAGACCUUGAAGUGAAGGCAGUAGCUCUGCCUGUGAUAACAGCGGAUGUUCACAAGGUCUAGUUCAGGCUCAGGACAUUUCGUACAGUGCGAGGCUGUUGGGGUGAACGCUGUUUUCGUGUGGGCGUAUGGAUUCACUCGCCGUGUUGCAAGCAGCAGAGAGCGGGGCUGACGCUGGUCUGAGCGCGGCUGAGGGUGGACAGGUUCCACAGCAAUCAGGGCUAAGGGCCCGGACCCGGAGCCAGGUUUCCCGUGUGACUUGCACCGUGUGACUCACUGUUGCCGUGCCUCGGUUUCCCUGCGCAGAAAACGGGCGUGCUUGCUCCUAGUACUUUCCUCUGGGAGGUGUUUUGAGGAUGGAAUGAGUGCAACCCUGCGAGGCUUUGUCUCUGCAGGCCUGGAAGACAGUAAGCCCUGGAGUCUUCGCUAUGUUGAAGCCCGGAAGAAAGUGCUGGAGAAAUGUGCUCAGCCGACACCGGUCACUGGUUGUCUCUGAAGAGUGUUGAUUGUUGAACUCACGCAUUCCACAGCGUUUAACAUUUUUGGAAAAAAGAAUGCAGUCGGGCAGAGAAACAAUUGAUGUCCAAAGGAGACCCUUGUUACCGGCCUUCGAGGAUAGGUCAAUGCCUCCUUCUACGACAUUCCCUGGAAAAAUGGGUGGGUAGACUCCGGACUCAGGCACAGGACUCACCACCCAGGCUGUCGACUCUCCCUGCCCACCACCUCCCUGGGUCUGGUGCUCAUCGCUGUCAGUGUUCUUAGCCCCUGGGGUUGUCCCUUUAUAAAUCGGCUUCCCCCGCAGGCUUGGGGGCUCUCCAAGGACAGGGACUGCAUCUAACCUGUGUCUCUGUGUCUCCACGCCUGGGCUGGGGCCUGACACAGAGUAGGUGCCGAAUGAGGGUUUGCUGAGUACUCAGUCUUGAAGGCAUUACUCGAGGGUUGGUACGUGACCCAAGGGUUUAUUGGAGGAAGUUUCUUCCACAGUCUGACAGUAAACACUCCCUCUGACCCCUCUGGAAUGCUCUUGGCACUUGUUUCCAAGUCAGGCCCUGAAAAAUGAACCCUGUGUGUUAAUUACAGAGCGAAACAAUGCAUUCUGGACUCCACCUCGGGGCGGCCAUGUGGUCGGCCAGCUGCUGCAGAGGCUGUCCCCAGGGAAGGGACCUCCAGUCCCUCCAGGCCCAGGCGAUAGUUCCUGGCAUCCAGGUCCUCCAGGGGCCAACCACAGAAACCAGGGACCCACUUGGCAUAUCAACAGGAAGCGUUGUUAUUGCCAUGCUUGUGGGCAUGUGCCCGUAUGCACACCCACAGCCCCCCAAACAGAACAAAAGCAAAACCAAAACGUGAUGAAAGAAGCAAUGAGAAAAGGUUGGGGAGGGGGGGCAAAGAAAGGGACAAACAAAUGUGUUUGUGGGCCAUAUAAAGCCCGUGAGUUCCCAAUUCCCAAAGCUCUUCCCCAUUUUACAGAUGAGUAUGCUGAGAGGCAACAGCGUGCCCAAAGUCACCAGGAGUUAGUGUGUGGUCCGGAAUGAAGUUUCUGAUUUUCUGGCCCAGAGUCUCCCCUCUGUUUUGUCCUUGAGGCCGAGGGUCUGCAGGCUCCAGGGGCAGGACCUCUCAGGAGAGGAACAAGGGCCACCUGCCUCCCCGGCAACCCCCACCCCCACCUUUUCCCAGGAACCCUUUGUGACAGGGGGUACCUGAUGCUACCACGCGCAUCAGGUAGCUGAUGCUGUCACCCCAGGAGGGGGCCAGAGAUGAGGGACUGGAGCUAUCACGUGAAUACUGGGAUCCGGGUAGACAGAGGCUUCUCUGAAAUUGAACGUUCAUGGGGAAGGAGGACCGAGGUCAGGUUUGGAGCUAUAGACCAAUCUGGGUUGGAAUGCGAGCUCUUUUCCUUCUAAGGCAGACAAAGAGAGACAGAGCAUGAGCAGGGGAGGAGCAGAGAGAGAGGAAGACACAGAAUCGGAAGCAGCUCCAGGCUCCAAGCUGUCAGCACAGAGCCCGACGCGGGGCAUGAACUCCUGAACCGCGAGAUCAAGACCUGAGCCAAAGUCGGAUGCUCGACCGACUGAGCCCCCCCAGGCGCCCUGACUCUGCCUUGAUCUUGGACUUGCAGCCUGCACGGCUGUGAGAAUAAACGUGGUUUAAGCCACCUGGUCUGUGCUAUUUUGUCGCAGCAGCCUGAGCGGACCGAGGCAGGGAGCACGGGGCCCGUGGCUGGGUGUCGAGAGACUUCAUUUCUGUCCCUCUUCUGCUAGUGUGACUCUUGGCCGGGGUUGCCCUUCUCUGGGACUCAGUUUCCCCAUCUGUAAAGGCAGGACCAUUAACUCUACAGGUAAGGGGUUCUGACCUUCUGAUUACAGGAAAUGCCUGCACCUUAGCUGACCAGUGCUGAGGGUCCGGAACAGGAUGGCACCUGGGGCUGGCAGGCUUCAAACCGCCUAGAAGCACCCCCAGACGCCUAGAAGCACCCCCAGACGGUGGCAGCAACACGGGUCAGGAAUCUCACACAGCACUUUUUGGGACGGUCUGGGGUCAGCACUAGGGAAUCUCUGCAGGCUCUGGGAGGCACAGGACACACCUGGAUAAACAUUUGCCCGCUUUGGCUCCUUUCCAGAGCAGCGGACACCGCCCUGUGCACACACGGGCCCAGGGCUUAGGCAGCAGUUUUGCGAUCCGGGUUUUUAUUUAACUGGAAGACAGAUACAGAGAUACUUGCUCCCUCCGUCCCCCGUCCCCCACCACGCUGCCCAGCUGACCUUGGCUCCACGCAGGAUCAAGGUCAGGCAGGGCCUCUCAGGCCACCCUUGAGGGGCAAAGAGCUGGAGGUCCUCAUGCUGAAAGUGGGGGUCUGGAUUCCCGCUCUGCCAUGGGGGGGGGGCGGUGCAUGUGGGCAGUGUCCCCACCUCUCUGAGCUCAGUCUGUACUCCUGUAAAAUGGGCUAAUAAUCAGUCUGUGGGCUGAGCCCCCUGGGUCUCAACCCCGCCCCCGCACAGCCUGCUCUGUGAGCUCAUUGCCGUUCUCAUGGGUCACUCUUCCCCUUCUUGACCUUCGUGUUUCUGCCUGGGCCGCGUCUGCCCUUCCCUGAGGAGGCCGCUGGUAGGGGUCAGGCUCGGGAGUGAGCGGUGUCUCAGAGGGGUUUUUUCGCCUCCAUCGCAGAUAACAGGUGAUGCUAGAGAAAGUCACCUCUCCAACGUCUGUGCAGCCGGGGGAUCGGCAUUCGGGUUUUCUUCUCGGGGCCGCGGGGAGGAUGAAGGAACGUUCUGGGCCGUCACCGCCCCCAGGUCAGCAGCCUCUGACCAGAGCCAGCUUCUUGAAUGAAUGAAUAAGUGGGUGAGUGAAUAACUGAAACGACAAUGACCUUCAAGCCCCGUGGGAAAAUGCUCUCGGUCUUUGCCAAUCAAUAGUGAUCUGUGCCCCACUUUCUAAGUCACGCCCUAGACAGCGGUCACCAGGCUCAGAUGCAUGCCACAGUGAUCCGAGGACCAGACAGCUGGGCGGGGCGGGGGAGGGAGGCCGGAGAGGUCACACGGCCCGGCCCCCGUGCCACACGCCUCUCUCCUGUCUCGGCGGGAGAAGAAGGAGUGUCGCACACGCCCAUCUUUUCAUUCAGCCCUCCCUGGUGGUGGGCUUGUUGGGCUCAUCGGUCGUGCGGGGACCAGCUUUCAGAGAGUUUCUUUAAAUUGCACAGGAGGGUUGCCCUGGAUGAGCUUGCCAAAUGCAAGGACCUCCGCCUGAGGGAGAAGACCCUGAUGAGGUUGCCACCACCCCAUUUUCACCUUCAGCCCCGGACGGGCCUGCACCCUAGAGGAGCACUGAGGCAGACUGGCAUUUUCUUAAGGAUCUCAAUCAAAUACCAAGAGGGGACCCAAAGAGACUAUAUCUCUUUUUUGGGGGUGUGCCAUGCUUCAUUUUACUUUAUUCUAUUUU